UAGAAGAGCUACUUAUGGACACCCAGGCAAAUAAGAAGGCAAUCCUUGAGAACACAGCAGCCAUUGGCAACUUACUAAUGAAACAUGACUUAGGCUGUGAAGGUAUUGAAGGUAUGUGCUGUUUUAACCUAUCUGACCAUGGCACUAUGAUCCAUAAACAUAUAAAAGAUUUACAUGACUUAGUACAGGUUAUCAAACAGGAUACUGGCUUCUUUUGGGAUUGGG